rnacentral:rRNA from 1 species
UUUACCACGGAGAGUUUGAUCCUGGCUCAGGAUGAACGCUAGCGGCAGGCCUAAUACAUGCAAGUCGAACGGGUGUGAGUAGCAAUAUUCGCGCUAGUGGCGCACGGGUGCGUAACGCGUAGGCAACCUGCCCCUCACCGGGGGAUAGCCUCCCGAAAGGGAGGGUAACCCCCCAUAGCACCUUUCUCUGGCAUCGGGGAAUGGUUAAAUCGUUAGAGGUGAGGGAGGGGCCUGCGUCCGAUUAGCUAGUUGGCGGGGUAAGGGCCCACCAAGGCAUUGAUCGGUCGGGGACCUGAGAGGGCGAUCCCCCACACUGGCACUGAGACACGGGCCAGACUCCUACGGGAGGCAGCAGUAGGGAAUAUUGGGCAAUGGCGGCCACGCUGACCCAGCCAUGCCGCGUGCAGGAAGAAGGCGCUACGCGUUGUAAACUGCUUUUGUCGGGGAAGAACGGGCUCCUUGCGAGGGG